rnacentral:rRNA from 1 species
UACGUAGGGGGCAAGCGUUGUCCGGAUCUAUUGGGCGUAAAGCGCGUGUAGGCGGCCAGAUAGGUCUGCUGUGAAAACUCGAGGCUCAACCUCGAGCUGUCGGCGGAAACCAUCUGGCUAGAGUCCGGAAGAGGAGAGUGGAAUUCCUGGUGUAGCGGUGAAAUGCGCAGAUAUCAGGAAGAACACCUAUGGCGAAGGCAGCUCUCUGGGACGGUACUGACGCUGAGACGCGAAAGCGUGGGGAGCGAACAGG